rnacentral:rRNA from 1 species
GACGAACGCUGGCGGCGUGCCUAAUACAUGCAAGUAGAACGCUGAAGGAGGAGCUUGCUUCUCUGGAUGAGUUGCGAACGGGUGAGUAACGCGUAGGUAACCUGCCUGGUAGCGGGGGAUAACUAUUGGAAACGAUAGCUAAUACCGCAUAAGAUUGACUAUUGCAUGAUAGUCAGUUAAAAGGUGCAAUUGCAUCACUACCAGAUGGACCUGCGUUGUAUUAGCUAGUUGGGGGGUAACGGCUCACCAAGGCGACGAUACAUAGCCGACCUGAGAGGGUGAUCGGCCACACUGGGACUGAGACACGGCCCAGACUCCUACGGGAGGCAGCAGUAGGGAAUCUUCGGCAAUGGACGGAAGUCUGACCGAGCAACGCCGCGUGAGUGAAGAAGGUUUUCGGAUCGUAAAGCUCUGUUGUAAGAGAAGAACGAGUGUGAGAGUGGAAAGUUCACACUGUGACGGUAUCUUACCAGAAAGGGACGGCUAACUACGUG